ensembl:lincRNA Gm26669 predicted gene, 26669
CCCUUUUAGAAGCUAUACAUAAAAUGGUGGUUUUCCUUCUGUACUGUCACAGAACUUAUACAUACAUUCUCAGUCCUACCUGUGAAAGGCCUAAGGAGAAAGAAACUCAAUUUGCAGUCCAACACAAAGGGGAGAAUUUCUAAAAUAAAUAAUCCAACAGUUUUUUGCAUUUUUUUAAAUUAAUUUUUCAUUUUUUUAAAAUAAAAUAACCAAAAAAAAGUGUAAAGUUACAAAAAUGUUGUUGAAGAAUAAUAUAUUAAAACUGUGGAAAAAAGGAAAGACACGUCACAAAAUUUUAAGAUUAAUAUGAAGAUCAUAAUUUAACAUAAAAGAAUAUAUUCUAUGGAUUUGUCAUCCCGAUAAAUAUGAACAAAAUUAACAAAAAAAGCAUAGUUUGGCAAUAAAUACGUUUUGAUAAGUUAAAUAAGCUUUUUUAUAUUGAUGUGCAGUGAUAAGCAACAUUUUUGCUCUCCAAUUUCUGAAAGUUAGAUGAAGUUUAAACCCAGGGAAAAAAGCAUUGUGUGGGGGCUCUAAGGUAGACCUAAGGUAUUCUAGAGCAAAAUCCAUUAAAGCUACUUCUACAGGAAAUCGUUUUACACAGAUAUUGUAUGUGGAAUGCAGACCAUUAACUGCUCACCCCUUACAUGUUUUUUGUUGUUUUUAGCUUUUCUCUCAUUUGUUGUCAUUUUUAAGAUGUCACAUAUGAAUUGGGGAACUUUAGCACCAAAAUCAAGUCUCUCAUAGUCCAUCUAGUUUCCCCUUCCUCCCCACUUAAAAAAAAGAAAAGAAAAGAAAGAAAGAAAUUAAAUCACGAAGUCCCACUUAUGUCAAAACCUUCGUCCAACUUGUUCAACCUUUGUCCCUGGAGACCUACACAAACCCAGGCAAGAUUAGUCAACAGGGGUUCGGGCUGGGAAGUAAAAGGUUUUGAAAGUCAAAAUAGACCCCUCCCCCCAAAAAAACCCCAAGUCCAGCAACAACUCUCUGAGGGAGGUGAGUAACUAUAAGGAAGAGGAAGAGUGUGCGGGAGACCGAAAGAAAGGUGCACUUGUGUGGCCAGCUGGGGGAGCUGCUGGUUGCGGGUCACCCCACCCCCACCCCCAACCCCACGGGCAGAGGCUCUGGGAGGCCCACGGGUGCCCCCUGGCGUUGAAGAGGUAAUGUAGUCACAGUGACAAAGUUAGAUUACAAGGCACUAAGUUGCUUCUGUAAACGGUUACUGCUUUUUUUCUUUUGUGAUUUGGCACUUAAGGCUUAAGCCGGGGGGGGGGGGGUAAAAAAAGGCAUCUACUGACAAAAGAUGGAACUCUGUUAUGCGUGGUUAAGUGGGCUAUGAAACGGAGGGAGAGGGUUUCAAGCCAGAAGCUACUGACAAAUUGAGUUGUCCUUAUGUGGGGGGAGGGUAACAUACCAAGGUUCUGGGAAAGGGGCUGAGCUUAAAUGUAUCAAUGUGGGGUUUGAGGGAAAGUUAGGGGGUGGGGAGGACAUAAGCAAAUUCCUUCACCAUGGAGGGAAACGCAAGCAGUGAAACUCCUUCACUCCCUCUACGUCGUCCCCGAGACCCAAACUUUUUAGAGUUUCUUGGAGCACAAGAGAAACUUUCAAAAAGCCAACGCUCCGCCCUGCUUUACCUUGCAUAAAACUUCGCUCAAGUCAAAAAUGGUGGCGGACACGAGGGUGGUGGUCAUCGUGGGCGUUCGCACGGGGCAAGGACUAGGAUCUGGUGUGUCGUGAAGGUCCCGGUGCGGGGAAGGCGCAGCCUCCGGCUCUCCGGUCAGGAGUCCCACACGCCUGCUCCCGGCGCCCCUCGCCU